GAUGAACGCUGGCGGCGUGCCUAAUACAUGCAAGUCGAGCGAACGGACGAGAAGCUUGCUUCUCUGAUGUUAGCGGCGGACGGGUGAGUAACACGUGGAUAACCUACCUAUAAGACUGGGAUAACUUCGGGAAACCGGAGCUAAUACCGGAUAAUAUUUUGAACCGCAUGGUUCAAAAGUGAAAGACGGUCUUGCUGUCACUUAUAGAUGGAUCCGCGCUGCAUUAGCUAGUUGGUAAGGUAACGGCUUACCAAGGCAACGAUGCAUAGCCGACCUGAGAGGGUGAUCGGCCACACUGGAACGGAGACACGGUCCAGACUCCUACGGGAGGCAGCAGUAGGGAAUCUUCCGCAAUGGGCGAAAGCCUGACGGAGCAACGCCGCGUGAGUGAUGAAGGUCUUCGGAUCGUAAAACUCUGUUAUUAGGGAAGAACAUAUGUGUAAGUAACUGUGCACAUCUUGACGGUACCUAAUCAGAAAGCCACGGCUAACUACGUGCCAGCAGCCGCGGUAAUACGUAGGUGGCAAGCGUUAUCCGGAAUUAUUGGGCGUAAAGCGCGCGUAGGCGGUUUUUUAAGUCUGAUGUGAAAGCCCACGGCUCAACCGUGGAGGGUCAUUGGAAACUGGAAAACUUGAGUGCAGAAGAGGAAAGUGGAAUUCCAUGUGUAGCGGUGAAAUGCGCAGAGAUAUGGAGGAACACCAGUGGCGAAGGCGACUUUCUGGUCUGUAACUGACGCUGAUGUGCGAAAGCGUGGGGAUCAAACAGGAUUAGAUACCCUGGUAGUCCACGCCGUAAACGAUGAGUGCUAAGUGUUAGGGGGUUUCCGCCCCUUAGUGCUGCAGCUAACGCAUUAAGCACUCCGCCUGGGGAGUACGACCGCAAGGUUGAAACUCAAAGGAAUUGACGGGGACCCGCACAAGCGGUGGAGCAUGUGGUUUAAUUCGAAGCAACGCGAAGAACCUUACCAAAUCUUGACAUCCUUUGACAACUCUAGAGAUAGAGCUUUCCCCUUCGGGGGACAAAGUGACAGGUGGUGCAUGGUUGUCGUCAGCUCGUGUCGUGAGAUGUUGGGUUAAGUCCCGCAACGAGCGCAACCCUUAAGCUUAGUUGCCAUCAUUAAGUUGGGCACUCUAAGUUGACUGCCGGUGACAAACCGGAGGAAGGUGGGGAUGACGUCAAAUCAUCAUGCCCCUUAUGAUUUGGGCUACACACGUGCUACAAUGGACAAUACAAAGGGCAGCGAAACCGCGAGGUCAAGCAAAUCCCAUAAAGUUGUUCUCAGUUCGGAUUGUAGUCUGCAACUCGACUACAUGAAGCUGGAAUCGCUAGUAAUCGUAGAUCAGCAUGCUACGGUGAAUACGUUCCCGGGUCU
rnacentral:rRNA from 1 species